UGCUUCUCGUCCCACGCCCACCCCACCCGCCAACCGAACCCUAGCGCCCUUUCUCCUUCCCCUCCAUCCCCACGAGCCGCCACACCCCUCCAUCUCUCCCUCAUCCUCUCCUCACCUGCAGCCGCUGUGCUUGUCUCUCCACUCGCCUCCUCCUCUCCUCUACCACGUCGUCGUCGAUCCACCGCCGGCCUUCUCCUCUGCUUACCUCCUCCUGUCCUCUUCCAUGUCGCCGUCGAUCCAGAUCAGACGUAUCGUCGUGGGGGAGCAGCGCCGGCAGGGUCUUCGCGGUGCGGGUGGGGGGUAGGAUGCGACGACAAGGGGAAGGAUGAGGCCGGUGAGGAAGGCAAGCAACAGCGGGUGGGGGUAAGGGGCAGGGUGAGGCCUCGCGCACCUGCCGGCGGCCUUCGGGUCGACUUGUCGCGCCACCGCGUCGUCGCCUCCUCUGCACCAUGCGGUGCCACCUCUGCCUCCACCCCCACCGGGCAAGGAGCUCGAGGUGAACAGGCGGUGUGGAAAGGCGAGAGGAAGCAGGAGCUCAUCUCUCCUCCAAUGGAUGUCUCGUGCAUCACGUGCCUGUUGGAGGUGGCUCGAGCGAUGCAGGCUAGCGGCGAACUAGAUCUGACAUAGAAGACCACGUUCCUCAGCGAUCCCAGAAUAUAUUAGACAAUAUGGUAGUCCAAUGCUGUUUUGAAGUAUAUAUUGGCACCAUGCUGACAGGAAGUGAAGACGGCCAGUCAUCGCGCCAUAUUCCCGUGAGCUCCAUUCAUAUUACUAUAUGCUUAAAACAUCGUGCUCUCCUUCUCUACAUCAUGUGGUUUGAUAUCAAACUCUCAAAAAGGAAAAACAACUUUACUCUGUUUUUUGGAGAACCUUCCUGUAGAGUACCUUGACAGAGACAAAUAUGCGAUCAAGGAUAUAUUCGAUGGAUUUUCACGCAAAACUUGGAGGAUAUUUUUUGCAGGUUCAUUGCUUGCUUUAUUGUUUUCUUACUUUCCGUUCUUCAAGACAAUAUCUUCCUAGCAUUGCUCUAUAAAUUUAAAUCCAUCUUUUUGUUCUUUGGAUUAUCAUGGCGUACUCGUCCUGUCUAAUCCAAGAAAGGGCCUUCAUGUUUGCAGAUAGUUUGGUGCUCUCAUGGUUAUUUUAUAGUGAUUUUCCUUGUAUUUGUUACUUGGUAACCAUCUACUGCAGCUUAGCUAUUGUCCAGUUGCUGACCUUAUGGUGAGUGAUUGAUGGUGCAUGUUUUCCUAUUAGUUUCUUUCUAUGCCAAUGUAUGAAUUUUAUCUUGCCGUUUUGCAUUUCUCCAGGCCUUUCAUUCUCACUGUGAUUCCCCGAGAUGCACUAUUAGUAGGCAUCCACUUCCUAAUAAAAAAUUGGCAGUCAACUUGAACGAGUCAUUUAUCUAGCUACAGCAACCUUCCUUGCUUUUGCAGUCAACUUGAACGAGUCUAUACCUGCCAAAUAUUUACACGUUAGUAUAGCCAGAAAGUCAGAUGAUCGUUCCAUGUUGGUUAGCCGUGAUAAAUCAAAUUUCUAGAGUAGCAGAUGAUUCGUGUCAGGUUUCCUUUAGAGAUUGAAAUAUGUCUUGACUCUAAAAUAAGUAGUACAGCGUCCAGUUCUGCAUAGGUGAAAGCAUACUAUCUAAAACUGGACGGCCUUCUAAAGCUCUGAAACUACUAUUUGUUGUGUAAUCUGUAUCCCCUUUUCAUACUCUAUAUAUGCUUUCUACUUACUAGGAAAAAAUGCGUGAGAACGAUGUCUUGAGGAUGCGAAUUGCACUCAAAUAUAUGCAGGUUUCUUGCCAAACUAACUGCCACUAUUUUAUUUCAGGUGCUUCUUCUGUAACUUAGUGUAUUUUGCUGGCUCUUCUCAUUUCCUGGUGAACUUUUUAGUCUGUACAGUCGAAUCGUUGGAAGUUGUUUUCUACUAUCUAUAGAGGUUUUUUCCAAACUAUUAGCUGCCUGACUUGCUUUUUUGAAGUACACCGUCCUGAUAGACCAAGUGGACCCACACAUUUCCAUGGGAUUUUAGAAAAAUAUAUGUGAAUUUGCAUACAUUUUCUAAAUUUCUAUCUUUUCUUAUCCAUGCUUCUAUAUAUAGCAGGCUCAACAAAAAUGAAUGUCUGAUUGUGUUCAAAUUUCAAGGAAGUGUGCUUCACGUUUCUCUUUCUGCAAUAUUUUUCUGAGUAUAUGAUUUAAUUUUCCUACUUUCCCAGUUACAAUACUGUCUACUUCAUUCUUAGCUUUGCUUUGGGAAAAAUAGGUAUGCAGGUUAUCGAAAGCUCCAUUUUUCUCCAUUAUAUAGAUCAUAUAGCUUUGUGAUCGAAGGUAGGUUGUCACAUAUGGGAUGUUGCCUGUGAAAGUUAUAUACAGCCAUGAGUCCCUGACAAAAUAAUCGCAGCUCAUGUUACUAGGAUCAGGGAACCUCGACCAUUUUUCUGAAACAUGUCGUAGCUCAUGUUCCUACUUUCCCAGCUACACUAUUAUGUACUUCAUUCUUACCUUCGCUUUUGGAAGUUACAUUGCUUUCUUUUCCCUCAUAAACUUGCUAGCGAUAUUGGCGAAGUAAUCCCCACUUCAGAUUUCCCAUUGAAUAAAUAACUAAUUUAGUUUGUUGUAAAAUUGUAGGUCAAGAUCCAUGAAUAGGAGCAAGGCAUCACACCAGCUCUGAGAAGAAAAGGAUAUGAAGACAAAGAUAGACCAGUGUUCUGCUCCGAAGCAAAAACAUUUUACGUGUAAUAAUGAACUGUAAUUUACCACAGUCUCUCUAAAACAGGCCUACCUAUUACCUGUCCGUUGCUUGCUUUUGUAUUAGGAAGUAUGACCCAGUCAUAUAUAUUUACAUUCACGUUGUUUAGUCAUGGUUUGUAUGCAUGAAAAUACCUUUUAAAUCUAGCUUCAAAAUUCUUAUGUGCAGUGAAA